rnacentral:lncRNA from 1 species
AUAACAUAUCACUAAUAUAGUUUAAGUCUCCAUAAGAACGAGGUUCUGCUUAAUUUUAUUUGUGUUAAUAUUAACUUAAUCUGGAAAUCAAGGAAUGUCUGAAGGAAUAAUGGUUUUAUUGCGAUCAUAUCUAUGUACAUGUCUUAAUUGCUAAUUCCAAUGUUUACAUACGGGAUAAAUACGUAGCAUGCAGUCGCUGACAUAAAAACCGUUAACUAACUUAUUUUCGGAUAUUCGUAUUACUGAUUUUUUUUUUACUUUAUUUUUCAAUUUCACUGUCUACCAAUUUCUUCAUGAUACAUCUUGUACUGCUAGAACUCUCUUCUUCGACUCGAUAAACUUAAAAAAUCGGUUUGAUUAUAUUUAUAAUAUUAAUAAACUAGGUUUAAAUAGUAAAAACAAAUCUGAGAUUAUGUACAACUUCUAAGGAAAAAGAUCGGUAGUUUAAUUGAGUUGACGAUUCCCUGUUUAAUCACAGUAAUCACUCCAUUCUUGUUGAACGUACUGGGCAAACAUAUAAGGAGAGCUGUCUUUGCCGUCUUCACGAACCCAGUAUUGUGUCACGUUUGAUAAAGUAUAAAUAGUUUCGUUAACCAUUGUAUUAAGGGCCUUCAAUACUUUGGUCUGGAAAUAGUUGAGGAAAACAACAUCAACGGUUUCUGGAGCUGAAGUAGUGUUAAAGCCGACUUGAGCUUGAAGAACGUUAGGUACUGCGUAUGUGGAAACAUAGGUAUGGACGGUGUCAUCGCCAUCUUCUCCAAAGUCGUCGCUAGUAACGUAACCAGGAUUGAGAGCAGCAAGAUAAUCGUUAACGUUGCGAAGAGUGGAACCGCCAUUCAAGAUAGAGUAAAGCUUCUUGGCAUAUUUGUAAGGAACGUCUGGAAUGUAAUUAUAAUAAUUGGUAAGGAAUGGGUUAAGUUGGAACAUUUCGUCGGGUCCAAACGUUCCUUCAUACAUAGAACCACGAACACCACCUCCGUUGCUAAUUAUAAUAUGAGGCACAGAUGAACGGUUUUCAUUGACCAAAACCUCUGGCAAAAUAUGAUCUACCAUAAGUUUGAAGAUGCUGUCCUCGGCUUGAGGAGAGACUUCAGUCAUAUAAUAAUUUUUAGGGAUGCAUCCAAAGACAUAUGAAAGAUUAAGAUCGUCACGGUACUGUUUAAUAACCUUCGAUAGUUCAACACCUUCUGGAGUAUCGAAGGAGUCCUCUGACUGUUGAGUAUGGAAGCGGAAGUUUUGACGGUUGAAAUCAAUGUAGCGACGUGUAUAAUACAAAGGCGUAGCAGGCUUAGGAAGAUUGGGAUAUGAUUGACGAGUCUCAUUGGUGACGGGACGACCAACAUAUUGGCGGGUUGCAUUGGAUGCUGAAAGACCGUCAAUUGAAAGCCAGCCUACAGUUUCACAAUAUCUUCCACCCUCAAGAGAUACAGAAGCCUCGUCGUAAACAGCAAAAUCACGAAUGUGAGAAUGACCACCAAGGAUUUGAAUGGGAGUAUUGGGAUGUACUUUUCUAAUAGAGGCAUGUAGUGAUUUCCACUCAUCAUAAUCACGAACGGGGAUAUGACCAAUCAAUAAGAAAAGGUCGACGUCGGUUCUGUUGAUUUGUUGUUGGUACCAUUCAGAUUUGAUGGCUGUUUCAACGGGUGUAACGACAGUGUUAUUAGCAUUACUACUGAAGUUGAAGAGAAAACCCAUAGCAAGGGUUCGAACACCAUGUUUUGUAAUAAAGUAAGUGGAUUCACCACCAAAUUGCUCCAAUUCAUUUGAUGAGUUGUAAAUUUGAACGUUAGAAGCGAGAUACGUACCAUUCCAAUGAGGCACAAAAUACUCAUGCGUGUUAUUAGAAAUGGCGGCUUGGUACAAUUCGUGAUUACCAAUUGUAAGAAUAUCGUAGGGAAGAUAGGUGAAAAUGUUGUUUGUGUAGAUACCCUGAGGAUCAGAAGCAUCAGAAAGGCCGUUUCCGUCGUGCAAAUCACCGGUGUCAACCAUCAACAAGUCUACACCUUUAAAAUCAGCUAAUUCCUUCAUGCGCAAAGCAAACGAUUUGAAUUCACCAAAGUCGGCUUUAUAACGAGCAUCUCUAAGAUGACCACCAAGCCAACCGUGAGUAUCCGUAGUAUGAAUGAAAUUCAAUUGUCCCCAUUCUAAAGGUUUGAUUAUUUGGUUCCAAUCAUACAUCGUAGUUAAAUCGGUGGCCGAAUAAGCAGUAGCAGAACUGAUAAGACCA